UACGAAGGGGGCUAGCGUUGCUCGGAAUCACUGGGCGUAAGGGUGCGUAGGCGGCGCGGUAAGUCGGGUGUGAAAUCUCGGAGCUUAACUCCGAAACUGCAUUCGAUACUGCCGGUGCUUGAGGACUGGGAGAGGAGACGUGGAAUUUACGGUGUAGCGGUGAAAUGCGUAGAUAUCGUAAGGAAGACCAGUGGCGAAAG
rnacentral:rRNA from 1 species